rnacentral:rRNA from 1 species
AGAAUCAACGCUGGCGGCGUGCCUAACACAUGCAAGUCGCACGAGAAAGGGUAGCAAUACCUGAGUACAGUGGCGCACGGGUGAGUAACACGUGAAUCAUCUACCUUCGAGUGGGGAAUAACUGAGAGAAAUCUUAGCUAAUACCGCAUAAUACCCACGGGUCAAAGCAGCAAUGCGCUUGAAGAGGAGUUCGCGGCAGAUUAGUUAGUUGGCGGGGUAAUGGCCCACCAAGACGAUGAUCUGUAUCCGGCCUGAGAGGGCGCACGGACACACUGGAACUGAGACACGGUCCAGACUCCUACGGGAGGCAGCAGUGGGGAAUCUUGCGCAAUGGGCGAAAGCCUGACGCAGCAACGCCGCGUGGGGGAUGAAGGCUCUCGGGUUGUAAACCCCUUUCAGUAGGGACGAAUUCAGACGGUACCUACAGAAGAAGCCCCGGCCAACUACGUGCCAGCAGCCGCGGUAA